CAAUGGAUGACUUGCGCUUUAGAAAAAAUUUUAAUCUGGGAAUAACUAAGGAUAUUUUCGGAAAGAAGUUAUCAAAAUUAGAAAAACUGCAAAGUUUGGUUGCGAAAUAUUGUAAAAUACGGAAAAUAUAGCCCCGCGAAGUUGGCAAAUUUGUAUACAUUUCUAUUACGUGCGGAAAUUGGUAACUAAUUUAGUUACCAAUUCACGCACGUAAUACAAAAGUAUACAAAUUUGCCAACUUUGAAGGGCUAUAUUUUCCG